UCAAUCGAUACAAUAAGCAUUAUAAAUCAUCAUGUAAUGCUAAGUAAAUUCACACAUUUCAUCACCCUAAUCGUAACAUACAUCCAGUAACGGCACAUCAACUCAAACAUCAUACUUAAUAUCAACACAAUUCCACUCCCCAAUUAAAUUAAAUAUCCAUACAACAAGCCAACAAAAUGCAACUCUAAUGAGACUCGACUCGUCAUGCAUGUGGUACCAUUCGGAGUAAAAC
rnacentral:lncRNA from 1 species